UUGUAUAACGGCUGCCGGAUCAACAAGGGGAGUUUCG
rnacentral:scRNA from 1 species